rnacentral:rRNA from 1 species
CUUACCAGGUCCAGACACAGUUAGGAUUGACAGAUUGAGAGCUCUUUCUUGAUUCUGUGGGUGGUGGUGCAUGGCCGUUCUUAGUUGGUGGAGUGAUUUGUCUGGUUAAUUCCGAUAACGAACGAGACCUCAGUUUAUUAAUUAAAUAAAAAAAUAUUAACAAUAUAAGGGUUAAAAGAUUUUAGUAUUUUACUUGUAAAAUAUUAUAUUUUUUAAAACUUGUUUAUAUUUUAUUUUAUUUUCUUAAAAAGACACUUGGUGUUUAACCAAGGGAAGUUUGAGGCAAUAACAGGUCUGUGAUGCCCUUUAGAUGUUCUGGGCCGCACGCGCGCUACACUGAUAAAAUCAAUAAGUUUUUUAACAAUCACCUUAAUAGAAAUAUUUGGGUAAACUUUGAAAAUUUUAUCGUGCUGGGGAUUGACAAUUGUAAUUAUUUGUCAUCAACGAGGAAUUCCUAGUAAACGUAAGUCAUCAGCUUACGUUGAUUACGUCCCUGCCCUUUGUACACACCGCCCGUC